GUGCUGAGAACAGCGGGCGGCUAACAAAGUCUUCUUACAAGUGCAUGGGGCCCUUGUCAUGUGCCUGGAGCACACUAGAAAUUGUCUGCACUGUGUGGUUAAUCCUCACAAUGAGUAAGGAAGGUGUUAUUCCGCAGAGCUGAGAAAGGGAGGCUCAGAUAGAUUAAGUGACGGGCCCAAGUUCACAGUUAGUAAGUGGAGAGCUGAGUCAAGGGAGAUCACAGGCCGUCUGUUCCUAAAGGACCUCGGGAGCAGGAAAGCGGUACUUCAGGUAGGAAGACUUGAGUGCCAAGCCAAGGGAUUUGCGUGCACCUCUGCAGGCAUAAUGCAGAAAAAAGCCUUGUCAAAGCAAGCACAAGAAUUCCAGUUUGCUCACUGGCUCGGCUGAUGUGGGAUACCAGGUUUGGUGAGUAGGUACGGAAGUUUUCAAUCCAUUCAGAUUCUGCUCUUUAAAAUUGGUUUGGAAACUACCUCAACCAAAUAAAUUGAGAUGAGCACAGUGAGGGACAUAAUCUGUGUGUAAGCAAAAUAUCCGAGCCCAAGCUGAAUAUAGCCUGUGCUUAGAUUAUGUUUAUAACCCAAACAGUGUUGGCUUGAACCUCAGCUUACGUGUGAAGAGAUUUUACCCUGUGGAGUGUGCUCUUCGUGGGUCCUUGCGUUCUUGGGCGGCACCUUCUCUGAGAGCCGUGGCACCAGUGCCUUUACUGCCAUGGACAUUGCUCUGUGUGCUGAUUCUUCAUGGCCCCACCUAUGCAAGCUCUGCCAAAGCUCCAGAACUGGUCCUCCUCCACGAUUGCCCCCCAGGAGGGUCGGUGCCCGGCUAUCAUGAGGCACAGGGAGAAAAGAGAUGUUCUGUCCACAUCCUAGUCUAAGGUCCACUCCAGAGCCCUUGAUUCCUGUCCCAGAAUUGACUCUGUUUUCUCAAUAACCAGCCAGAGAAAUAUCCACUACCCAUAGAGACAGCCCAUUCUUACACAUAGGUGUGUAACAGCUUGAGAACAGUUUCUUUUGGGUUAUUUAUUCAUUAGUAAUGUCUUUCAUGAUAGUUGAUACCAAGUCCAUGCUGGGCUGUGCCAAACCCUGGCCAGGUGCUUUCUUCUGGUGGGAAGAAUGGUCUGGUAGGAAAUACAGUUUCUUUCUAUCUUGUGCUAAGUCUCCAACCUAGGUUUUCCACAAUUUCCAGAGCAUACCGCCCUCCGAAGUUACACAGAGCUGAGAGACAUUGCCAGAACCCUUUCCUCAAUAUCCCCCACCAAAAGGCAAGAAAUUCUUAAAUGGCCUUGGCUCAAUUAAUUCUAGUAAUGUUUCAGUUCUUCAAGAAAAUUAUCUUCUCAAUAUUAAAACUGCGUUCAUGUCAAUGGUUAUGUCCAAAUACUAGGAAAAAUAAUAGAGUAUCU
ensembl:lncRNA